rnacentral:rRNA from 1 species
GUGGGGAAUAUUGGACAAUGGGGGCUACCCUGAUCCAGCCAUGCCGCGUGAGUGAUGACGGCCUUCGGGUUGUAAAGCUCUGUUACAUGGGAAGAUAAUGACGUUACCAUGAGAAUAAGCACCGGCAAACUUCGUGCCAGCAGCCGCGGUAAUACGAAGGGUGCAAGCGUUGCUCGUAAUUACUGGGUGUAAAGGGCGUGUAGGCGGAUUAGUUAGUUAGUGGUGAAAUCCUUGGGCGCAACCUGAGAACUGCCAUUGAUACAGCUAGUCUGGAGUAAUAGAGAGGAUGACGGAAUAUCCAGUGUAGAGGUGAAAUUCGUAGAUAUUGGAUAGAACACCGGUGGCGAAGGCGGUCAUCUGGCUGAUUACUGACGCUGAGGAGCGAGAGCGUGGGGAGCAAACAGGAUUAGAAACCCGGGUAGUCC